UCACCCAAACAGAAGGGCCUCAUGUCCAAAUGUCAGUUUGGCUCCCAUUUCCCCCCAGAGGACAGAACUGGAAUUACAGGCAACAUUUCCCAACAGCUGAAGACCAUCAGUAAUCAGGAAGGCUCUCACCUGAAGCAAUCAAAUCCACUCCUUUUAAGUCUGCAGCUCCAGCUCAGACUUCAGGCCAACAAACACUGCUCGAGGAGAUUUUGCCAAAUACAGUAGAGACAACUUUUUAAAGAGACCAGGGUGGCUGACGACAAUCUACAAUCUGCGCACCUGCCCCCUCGAUGAACGAGCUGCCUUCAUAAGCCUGCUCAACCUGCCAAUCCGCGCCAAAAUAUAGUCUUCUGUACCCAAUCUGUCUUCGUCCCCACGUGAUCGAGCUGUGCGCCUCGACUUCUCUUUUGGACUUUGGAAUGCCACCCUCGAUCUCAGAACCUUCGCAUGGACUCGGACUCUGACGCCUCUCUCUCGCCCCAUGGACUGCCUCGUUCCUUUGCUCUCACCAACAUUUACGGUAAAACGCUCCAGUUAAAUACUACACAUAGUCUUACACUAUACACACUCUUGGAUUUUGUCACACUCCAU